rnacentral:rRNA from 1 species
AUUGAACGCUGGCGGCAUGCCUUACACAUGCAAGUCGAACGGUAACAGGUCUUCGGAUGCUGACGAGUGGCGAACGGGUGAGUAAUACAUCGGAACGUGCCUAGUAGUGGGGGAUAACUACUCGAAAGAGUGGCUAAUACCGCAUGAGAUCUACGGAUGAAAGCAGGGGAUCGCAAGACCUUGUGCUACUAGAGCGGCCGAUGGCAGAUUAGGUAGUUGGUGGGAUAAAAGCUUACCAAGCCGACGAUCUGUAGCUGGUCUGAGAGGACGAUCAGCCACACGGGGACUAGGACACGGCCCAGACUCCUACGGGAGGCAGCAGUGGGGAAUUUUGGACAAUGGGCGCAAGCCUGAUCCAGCAAUGCCGCGUGCAGGAUGAAGGCCUUCGGGUUGUAAACUGCUUUUGUACGGAACGAAAAGCCCUGGGUUAAUACCCUGGGGUCAUGACGGUACCGUAAGAAUAAGCACCGGCUAACUACGUGCCAGCCGCCGCCGUAACAC